CUGGCGGCGUGCCUAUCAUGCAAGUCAGCGGACAGACGGGAAGCUUGCUCCCUGAUGUUAGCGGCGGACGGGUGAGUAACACGUGGGUAACCUGCCUGUAAGACUGGGAUAACUCCGGGAAACCGGGGCUAAUACCGGAUGGUUGUUUGAACCGCAUGGUUCAGACAUAAAAGGUGGCUUCGGCUACCACUUACAGAUGGACCCGCGGCGCAUUAGCUAGUUGGUGAGGUAACGGCUCACCAAGGCGACGAUGCGUAGCCGACCUGAGAGGGUGAUCGGCCACACUGGGACUGAGACACGGCCCAGACUCCUACGGGAGGCAGCAGUAGGGAAUCUUCCGCAAUGGACGAAAGUCUGACGGAGCAACGCCGCGUGAGUGAUGAAGGUUUUCGGAUCGUAAAGCUCUGUUGUUAGGGAAGAACAAGUGCCGUUCAAAUAGGGCGGCACCUUGACGGUACCUAACCAGAAAGCCACGGCUAACUACGUGCCAGCAGCCGCGGUAAUACGUAGGUGGCAAGCGUUGUCCGGAAUUAUUGGGCGUAAAGGGCUCGCAGGCGGUUUCUUAAGUCUGAUGUGAAAGCCCCCGGCUCAACCGGGGAGGGUCAUUGGAAAACUGGGGAAACUUGAGUGCAAAAGAGGA
rnacentral:rRNA from 1 species